AGCGAACGAGGGAGGAAGGAGGAACACAUGCAAGUCGAGCGCCCCGCAAGGGGAGCGGCAGACGGGUGAGUAACGCGUGGGAACGUACCUUUUGGUUCGGAACAACUCCGGGAAACUGGAGCUAAUACCGGAUAAGCCCUAACGGGGAAAGAUUUAUCGCCGAAAGAUCGGCCCGCGUCUGAUUAGCUAGUUGGUGAGGUAACGGCUCACCAAGGCGACGAUCAGUAGCUGGUCUGAGAGGAUGAUCAGCCACACUGGGACUGAGACACGGCCCAGACUCCUACGGGAGGCAGCAGUGGGGAAUAUUGGACAAUGGGCGCAAGCCUGAUCCAGCCAUGCCGCGUGAGUGAUGAAGGCCUUAGGGUUGUAAAGCUCUUUUGUCCGGGAAGAUAAUGACUGUACCGGAAGAAUAAGCCCUGGCUAACUUCGUG
rnacentral:rRNA from 1 species